rnacentral:rRNA from 1 species
AUCUUCGGCCAUGCUACCCUGAACAAGCCCAAUCCCGUUUGAUCUUGGAAGCUAAGCAGGGUCGGGCCUGGUUAGUACUUGGAUGGGAGACCACUUAGGAAGACCAGGUGCUGUAGGCG